rnacentral:rRNA from 1 species
GUGGGGAAUAUUGCGCAAUGGGGGAAACCCUGACGCAGCGACGCCGUGUGAGGGAAGAAGGCUUUCGGGUCGUAAACCUCUGUCAGGAAGGAAGAACCUCUCAAGGCUGAACAAGCCUUGGGACUGACGGUACUUCCAGAGGAAGCACCGGCUAACUCCGUGCCAGCAGCCGCGGUAAUACGGAGGGUGCAAGCGUUAAUCGGAAUCACUGGGCGUAAAGCGCGCGUAGGCCGUCUUUUAAGUCGGACGUGAAAGCCCUCGGCUCAACCGGGGAACUGCGUUCGAGAGUGGGAGACUUGAGUCCUGGAGAGGGUGGCGGAAUUGCGGGUGUAGGAGUGAAAUCCGUAGAUAUCCGGAGGAACACCGGUGGCGAAGGCGGCCACCUGGACAGGUACUGACGCUGAGGCGCGAAAGCGUGGGGAGCAAACAGGAUUAGAAACCCCAGUAGUCC